rnacentral:lncRNA from 10 species
UUGUACUGUGUGGUAAUCCCAGGGAAAGAUGAUUCAGCAAAUUAAUUUCAAAGUGAUUAUAAUGUAACUCUUCUAAAAAUGUUGCUUUUUUUUUUUUUUUUUUUUUUUUUUUUUUUUUACAGUGGUAGUAGCUGGGAAUUCAGGUCUUCUUCUAUCCUUCCCUUGAUGGCUCUGGAGUCUGUAAUGCUCCUCUGGUUGUCUUCACUGAUGGAUGGAUCUUCACACCAAGAUUUGGGAGAUUUACACAAUGUGAUGAGAACACAGUAUAAUCUUUAUAGUGCUUCUCUUCUAAGGACUUCUAAAAAACCCCACUUCCUGCUGCACAGUAGCUGGCCAUCCUGUGAUGCUAAUACCUGGAUCAUCUAAGGUUGAGAAUGAAAUGCACUUAUGUAUAUGCAAACUGCUGACUGACUGUAUCAGUUAUUCAUUUGUCACAAUAAUGCUAUGUAAUAAUGAACAACUACAAAACCUCAAGGACAUAUAACGAUAAGUAUUUAUUGCUUAUGGGUUUGAGUCCGCUGAAAUUUGGCUAGGUGGUUCCACUAGUCUGCAAUGGGCUUGUCCACAUGUCUGUAGCUUGUCUAGUGGUCAGCUGGCUGAUCCAAGUGAGAUAAUCAGCAUACCUUGGCUCUGGUCUAUGUGUCUCUCAUUCUCUCAGGCUAGCCUGGGAAUAGUCCCAUAGUGGCAGAGAUGCAGAACAAGUUUUAAUGUGCAAGUCCAUUGUAAGCUUCUGCUUAUUAAACUUCUGCUGACAUCCCAUAGGCCAACAUGAGCAAAUGGUUGAUUUGAGUGCAGUGUCAAAGAGUGAGGCAGAUCACCCUGCCCAUGGAGAGAGGCCAUGGCAAAGCUAUAUGGCAAAAGACAUGGAUAUGAAGGAGGGAUGGAGAUUGAGGACAGGCUGCAAUAUACCACAACAGACAUAGGUGGUUUAGAGGAACAAAUGUCAGAGUUUUGGCUAUUUAGCAUCUGAACUCCAUUUCUGUUUGAGAUAUUCCCUACUUCAUGGGUCUUGAUGAGAC